UACGUAGGGGGCAAGCGUUGUCCGGAUUUAUUGGGCGUAAAGAGCGUGUAGGCGGCCAGACAGGUCCGUUGUGAAAACUCGAGGCUCAACCUCGAGACGCCGAUGGAAACCGUCUGGCUAGAGUCCGGAAGAGGAGAGUGGAAUUCCUGGUGUAGCGGUGAAAUGCGCAGAUAUCAGGAAGAACACCCGUGGCUAAGGCGGCUCUCUAGUACGGUACUGACGCUGAGACGCGAAAGCCAGGGGAGCAAACGGG
rnacentral:rRNA from 1 species